AGAGCUCAGCUGAGGUGUCGACAGCAGCGAGCUGAACUUGAUAGUAUAAAACAGUGCAGCCCCAGGAGGACGUGCCAAUACCCGGGCAGCCUCCUGUAAUCAGCGGGACUCCUGUGUCCACUCUGCACUGUUUUUGUUGCCACCAGCAAGUCUGCAGACUGGUUUCCCUGCAGCAGCGGUCUAUCGUCCCACUGACCCGAAGAGUCGACCUGAAGACGUUGCAUACGUUGGUGACUGCAUGUGAAUCUACAUGAAGCACCAGUCCAUCUCCCGGUGGCUGAGCCAGCUGGGUCUGCCCCAGUACUGCACUGCUCUGGAGCAGGAGUACGAUGGUGUGGAGGACCUUCUCCACCUCUCAGAGUAUGACCUCCUGGAGCUCGGAGUGCACAAUCACCUCCACCGUCUGCACCUCCUCACCUCCCUGCGCCUCCUCUGGGAGCGGGAG